UUCGGUGUCGGCUUCGUCACGAGGAUCGACAUCGGCGCCGUCUUUUGGAUCGUCGUCGGCGCCAUCUUCUGGAUAGUCGUCUUCUGGGUCACGACCUUCGCAGUUCUAGCCUUUUAGAGAAGAAGAUCGCCAAAGAGGUUUCAUUUCAUUUUCCUCGACUCUCCGACCCCGACCCCAACCCCAACCCCAACUCCAAAUCCUCUCUUCUAUCUCGGACCUCAAGGAUCUUGUGGACUUGCUGGAAUUGAAUGUGAUGUCUUGAGCCUCUUGGCUGGGAAGACCCAGAUUGUUGUUUCCCAUUGUUUUUACAAGACAUCUUUCCUUCAGAUGAUUUUGAUACUUUGCUGAAUGGUAUUUGAAAUUGUUGUUUGAUGAUAGUUAGGCAUAUACACAGCUGCUGGGCUUAUGUGACUUAACUUGUGUGGUUUGCAUUUGUGCAGGAGGGUGAAGAUUUCAGGAUUUCCUUUGUUUAUUUCUCUUUUAUCUUAGUGUGCAUCUUGUAUAUGAGAGAAUUUAGGUGAUUUUUAAGUCUAAAUCAUAUAUAAUGUAUGUUUAUGUUUUGAUUUUUAUUUAAAUCAUAUGAAUUCCUAAGUGCAUUGACAACUAAAAUUAAUUGAUUGGUUUGUGUAGCAAUAGUCUAACUUGUGGAUUGGAUUUGCUUGCAAGUUUGAAUAUGAAUAUAUAUAUGCUUAUCAGAAUAGCUAUAGCUUGCAAGUUGGAACCACAUUAUUAAUUAUGUGGAUAUAAUUUUAUUUUUUCACCACCCUUUCAGUAUGUAUAUCUUUUGCUUUGUUGGGAAAUCUGAUUAUAUUUCUAUUUUCCUUAUUUUAGAUACAUAGACAGCAGGGGAGUGGCUAGACCAAGAUUCCCUAGAGGACUUUGGCUUUUAUUAUUUAACUGGAGGAAUCCCACAAUCCAUGAGUGGUUUAAAUUUAAUUCAUUUGUAAGGAUGAUACUGCAGUUGUUCUCAAGUCAAGGUAAUUUCUAAACUACAAUACCUUGACCUUUGGGGGAGUAAAAUAUCUGACCAAGGUAGUUGCUGGAUUAGCAGCAGAUGGAAGGCAAAUUGUUGGCAGGACCAAGUCUGAAGCUAACUAUGAAAGCCUACAUGAUAGUGUAUACAUCAUUAACUUUCUCUUUGAAUCUCUCUCUCAGUAAAGCAGGUAGUAGUGGAUUAGUCCUCAAGCUGCUGUCAUUCUAAAGCUGCAUAGAUCUUAUUUCGACACCACCAACUUGAAAAAUGUGCAAGAAGGCAGAGCUAAGUCAACUCAAUAACAAAUUGAUGAAGUUAAGAUCAAAUUAGUAGAAUUUGUGAGCUCAAUUAUAUCUAAUUGUAGGUAGGAAGUAUGUAUGUAAUAGAAUAAAGAUUGGUUGACUAUGUAAUAACUAUUGAAUCUUCAAGUUUUAUGAAAGAAAUAAUUUUUGAG